rnacentral:rRNA from 1 species
UACGGAGGGGGCAAGCGUUGUUCGGAGUUACUGGGCGUAAAGCGCGCGUAGGCGGUGCGGUAAGUCAGGGGUUAAAGGCUGCAGCUCAACUGCAGUAAGGCCUUUGAUACUAUCGCGCUAGAGUACCAGAGAGGAUGGCGGAAUUCCCGGUGUAGCGGUGAAAUGCGUAGAUAUAGGGAGGAACACCGGUUGCGAAGGCGGCCAUCUGGCUGGUAACUGACGCUGAGGUGCGAGAGCGUGGGGAGCAAACAGG